UACGGAGGGUGCAAGCGUUAUCCGGAUUUACUGGGUUUAAAGGGUGUGUAGGCGGACUUUUAAGUCCGUGGUGAAAUCUCCGGGCUCAACCCGGGAAACUGCCAUGGAUACUAUAGGUCUUGAAUAUUGUUGAGGUGGGCGGAACGGUCAUGUAUGCGGUGAAAUGCAUAGAUAUGACCCGGAACACCGAUUGCGAAGGCAGCCCACUAAGCAAGUUAUUGACGACUGAGGCACGAAAGCGUGGGGAUCAAACAGG
rnacentral:rRNA from 1 species